rnacentral:rRNA from 1 species
UACGAAGGGGGCUAGCGUUGCUCGGAAUCACUGGGCGUAAAGCGCACGUAGGCGGCUCUUUAAGUCAGAGGUGAAAUCCUGGGGCUCAACCCCAGAACUGCCUUUGAUACUGAGGAGCUUGAGUCCGGGAGAGGUGAGUGGAACUGCGAGUGUAGAGGUGAAAUUCGUAGAUAUUCGCAAGAACACCGGUGGCGAAGGCGGUUCUCUGGGCCUGUACUGACGCUGAGGAGCGAAAGCGUGGGGAGCGAACAGG